UAGAGUUUGAUCCUGGCUCAGAAUCAACGCUGGCGGCGUGCCUAACACAUGCAAGUCGAACGAGAAAGUGGAGCAGUCCAUGAGUACAGUGGCGACCGGGUGAGUAACACGUGACCAACCUACCUUCGAGUGGGGGAUAACUCCGGGAAACCGGGGCUAAUACCGACAAUAAUAUCUUCGGGAUGAAAAGCCGGAGAUCAAAGAAGCAAUUCGCUUGAAGAGGGGGUCGCGGCUGAUUAGCUAGUUGGCGGGGUAACGGCCCACCAAGGCAAUGAUCAGUAGCCGGCCUGAGAGGGCGCACGGCCACUCUGGAACUGAAACACGGUCCAUACUCCUACGGGAGGCAGCAGUGGGGAAUUAUGCACAGUGGGGGAAACCCUGAUGCAGCAACGCCGCGUGGAGGAUGAAGUCCCUUGGGACGUAAACUCCUUUCGAUCGGGACGAUAAUGACGGUACCGGAAGAAGAAGCACCGGCUAACUCUGUGCCAGCAGCCGCGGUAAUACAAAGGGUACACGCGUUGUUCGGAAUUAUUGGGCGUAAAGAGCGCGUAGGCGGUGCGGUAAGUAUGCUGUGAAAUCUCUGGGCUCACUCAGAGCUUGCAGCGUAGACUGCCGUGCUGGAGUGUGGGAGAGGUGCCUGGAAUUCCCGGUGUAGCGGGUGAAAUGCGUAGAUAUCGGGAGGAGUACCUGUGGCGACAGCGGAGCACUGUACCACGACUGACGCUGCAGGGCGAACAGCUACGUGGAGCAAACAGUAUCAGAUACCCCGCAGCUCUAGUCCUUGAACGAUGACUGCUUGUCGUGUCGGUAGCUCCAUCCCGAUGUGCCGAGUUUACGCGAUACGCAAUCAGUUCUG
rnacentral:rRNA from 1 species